rnacentral:lncRNA from 1 species
GAGACUUGGGUGGUGUUCCUCGUGGCCGUGUCCACAUCGGCCUGCAUAUGAUCCGCUAGGACCAACCACAAACAGUUGUGAGGCCACCGCGGUACCAUUGGCCACCAGCACUCCUGCUGCACCAGAUCUAGAGUCCGUCGUGGUGGAUCCAUCGGCAACCAUCCAACAACGGCAAGGUGAUGUAAAUCAUUGUGCCUUACUUUCAUUGUUUUUUUCUUUUAUAGGGACCAGUGUGACUCGCCAGACGAGGACUCCCCUAGUCUUCCAAGGAGCACGCUAGCGGCGAGCUCUUCGGAGAUGGAGGUCAAUCCUUCCCUCGCUCAAGACAAGGUAGGGGAGUUCCAUCACACACUCCUCCCCCGGUGUUUGAUGUCGGGGAGGAAGUCAAUACCCCCAUGUGCGAGGACCAAACCUUGGUCAUGGAGGGACAAGCAAAGGACAGGGAGAUAAGUUUCACUCUCUUCCUGAAGAAUCAACGAUCAUUCGCAUGGUGUCUCUGAUUCACUUAGUUUUAUAGCCACGCGAUCAAAAAGUGAUGCUCACUCCUCCUUGACGAUGAGGCGUCGAGCACUUUGUUGCCACCGCUUUGUCAUGGAUAGGCUGAGUUGCGGAAGCGCAAACAUGCGGUGGAGGUGUGUUUGACAAGCUCCUUCAUCCUUCCCGGCCACCAUGCCCUCCUCGGGACGGCCCUAAGCUAGUUUCGGUGUGUCGAAGCUGGUGCAAUUGAGGUGUUCCUCGGCCUUGCUAAAGGCUUUGAGGUAUGUUUGUUUCUUUAUAUAUGCAACUUGAUUUUGCUUUAUGGUUCAAAUACCUACUACUGUAAGUAUACUUAGUAACACGCAAGGAAGAUGUCCAAGCAUCAUCCGAAGAUAUCAAGAAAAUGCUUUGCUUUCAGUAAAGACCACAUCAAAAGAUUUCUUUGAAUUGCAAUUACACUAGCCCUCGAGCCUUGUGUCAGUUUACCAAACUCGCUUGAGGGUCAAAUCAUAACUUGAUGCCUAUUUUUAAAGAGUGUGAAUAUGAAGUAACCCGAAGAGUCAUGUUUGUUGCGCAAGGAUCCGACAGGAGGAUUGGAUCUAGUCUUUUAAAUGGGUGCUCUCUUUAAUCAGGCUUCUCCUACUUGUGAUAGGCGUUGAUAAUUCUCAAGUGCAAGGAAUCAUCGUAGCACUUUCCAAAGAUGAAAGCGAUAAGUAUAGAGUGUCGAACCCACAC